rnacentral:rRNA from 1 species
UACGUAGGGGGCAAGCGUUAUCCGGAAUUACUGGGUGUAAAGGGUGCGUAGGCGGCACGCCAAGUCAGUUGUGAAACCCGUAGGCUCAACCUACGGCUUGCAAUUGAAACUGGCGAGCUAGAGUACAGGAGAGGAAAGCGGAAUUCCUAGUGUAGCGGUGAAAUGCGUAGAUAUUAGGAAGAACACCGGUGGCGAAGGCGGCUUUCUGGACUGAAACCGACGCUGAGGCACGAAAGCGUGGGGAGCAAACAGG